rnacentral:rRNA from 1 species
GGACGAACGCUGGCGGCGUGCUUAACCCAUGCAAGUCGAACGGAAAGGCCCUGCUUUUGUGGGGUGCUCGAGUGGCGAACGGGUGAGUAACACGUGAGUAACCUGCCCUUGACUUUGGGAUAACUUCAGGAAACUGGGGCUAAUACCGGAUAGGAGCUCCUGCUGCAUGGUGGGGGUUGGAAAGUUUCGGCGGUUGGGGAUGGACUCGCGGCUUAUCAGCUUGUUGGUGGGGUAGUGGCUUACCAAGGCUUUGACGGGUAGCCGGCCUGAGAGGGUGACCGGCCAACUGGGGCAUGGGAAACGGCCCGAACUCUAUCGGGAGGCAGGAGGGGGAAAAUUGACAAAAGGGGCGGAAGCCGAAUGCAGCAACGCCGGGUGCGGAAAGACGGCCUUCGGGUGUGAACCCGCUUUCCCCUAUGGCGAAGCGUGGGGGAGGUAAAUGGGAAAAGGAGCACGGCCAAACUACUG